CCCAUUGCAUGGACAAGGAGCUGUGGGUUAUACUCAGGAUUGGUUUCCCCACAUGGCAGGCUAGCCUGGCCAUUCUACAGUCUGCCCAGAGCUGCAGCGUAAAGAGGCAUUAGACGGUACAUAUUGUUGAUUUCCAGGAAGUUACACUGCCCUACUUUAAGGUGAUGCUCAUUAGUCUGCAAACCUGGAUGCUGAAGAAAUCCAUGUCAUAGAAGGACAGAAGUCUUGUAUCCUGUGCCAACUCUCAUUGUUUGGUGGUGAUUGCCUGGAGUGCUGGGGCUAGUCUGGGUUCUGCAGGAAAAAAGGGUCUUGCUGUGUCCCUAGGCUGGAGUGCAGUGGUGCAGUCUCAAUUAUGCCAGAUGGCUCUGAGGUCCAAGUAAAAGAUAAUAUUUGCAACCAACUCACUGGAGUUGACCAUCAAAACUCUUUUCCAGGCACACUCAGGCAUCGCAGAAAAUAAUAUGUAUUGUGGAAUCCCUCACUUGAUGAAUAAUCUAGAUGAUCAGAAAUGUGGCACUAUUUUGGCUUUCAGGUGGAAAAGCACCCUGAAUCCAGCUUCCUGCUAUGAAUGAAUACUGAGCUUGGGUUGGUGGAAAUUGAUUUUCGAGAUAAAGAAUCCAGCCAGGACUGUGAAGCCCCAGGGAAUGGCUGCACUUCAAGUCAGAAGGAGCCUGGGUCCCUGAAUCAUCAUGUGGAAGGCUCUCCACCCAGUUCAAUGGUGCAAUGGACCACAAGCAGGAACUUAAUUUAGAAUGUGCUUAUUUUGUUAGAUUUUGUAAUUAAAAAAUGGAUCCCACUCUGACUGAAUCAGAGAUGUUGAAGUCAUUGAUCUGGGAGGGUAUGUUCCUGGGAGUGGGUGGCUGAGGUGAGAUUUCAAACAAGGUUGUUGAGGAAGAGGAGUUCAAGUGACUGAGAGGACAUAUUGUUGGAUAAAUUGUGCGUGCGUGUGUGUGUGUGUGUGUGUGUGUGUUGAAAUCACCAAGAAUAGGGAAAGAAGUGUAUAAGAGAGUGUGGCAGUGAGCCCAGAGCUAAAAGAAAUCAUGAGCAGGGAGUAAUUCACGAGCAGAAAGUAGAAGCAACGAGAGGCAGUUAAUGAGAGAAGCAGCUGAGGGAUUUUAGCAAGGGAUGGG
rnacentral:lncRNA from 10 species